UUGGGAUUUAAGUAGGGCCUCCUACCCUGAUUCCCUCCCCAAUUCCCGUAUACUGUCAUUCACUCUCUCUCUUCCCUCACGACUCUCUCUCACUCUCAGUUCUCUCUCUCUUCCUCUCCGACGCUCAACCUCACCCAAAACCACCUAAAACAUAAACAAACGUCCAAGAUAAAGACCACAUUUGGACUCCUGGAACUUCCACAAUCACGUAGACAUCAAUUUCAGGUAAGUUCUACUUCGGAAAACCCUAGUUUUCAAAGUUCCCGUGAAAUGGCACUGUUCAUAAACUCUUAAAUGGUGGUGUUUUAGCUUAAAACAAGAUCACAGUGAGCUUAAGGAAGUCCCAAGGAAGCUCGGAGUGCUUCGUUGGAAGUUUUUGGACGUAAGAACACGGAGAUCGACAAGUUCAAAGUUUGGCCGGAGCUUUCGAGGCUCUUUCCGGCGAAUCCCCGGCGAGUUAGGAGUCGAGGUAGGUAUCAAUCUCUUCGUCUCGUCAAGUACUACAACUUUCCUUUUUGUUUCACUCAAUUUUGUUGAGUAUUGAAGAAGUUAUACUCAUUUGAAAAAUACCCAGUUUCCGGCGACCUCCGAGGCUUUCGAGGCAGUUUCCGGCCAAACAACGGCGAACUAGGUGUUGUGCAAGGUACCAUUCUCUUUGUCUCUUCAAGGGCUACAACUCUCGUUUUUGAAUCACUUGAUUUCGUUGAGAAAUGACAAAGUUAUGGCAAUUUGAAAAACUGCCCGGAAAACGGCCGCCGGAAAAACCAGUCCGGCGACCCAAGGAAGAAGAAGGUGCUACAGUAAAAAAAUAAAUAAAUAAAAAUAAAAUUAUUUUAAAAAUAU
rnacentral:lncRNA from 1 species